GACGGACGCUGGCGGCGUGCCUAAUACAUGCAAGUAGAACGCUGAAGGAGGAGCUUGCUUCUCUGGAUGAGUUGCGAACGGGUGAGUAACGCGUAGGUAACCUGCCUGGUAGCGGGGGAUAACUAUUGGAAACGAUAGCUAAUACCGCAUAAUAGUAGAUGUUGCAUGACAUUUGCUUAAAAGGUGCAAUUGCAUCACUACCAGAUGGACCUGCGUUGUAUUAGCUAGUUGGUGGGGUAACGGCUCACCAAGGCGACGAUACAUAGCCGACCUGAGAGGGUGAUCGGCCACACUGGGACUGAGACACGGCCCAGACUCCUACGGGAGGCAGCAGUAGGGAAUCUUCGGCAAUGGACGGAAGUCUGACCGAGCAACGCCGCGUGAGUGAAGAAGGUUUUCGGAUCGUAAAGCUCUGUUGUAAGAGAAGAACGAGUGUGAGAGUGGAAAGUUCACACUGUGACGGUAUCUUACCAGAAAGGGACGGCUAACUACGUG
rnacentral:rRNA from 1 species